rnacentral:lncRNA from 1 species
GAUUUAUUCCCUGUGACUGUAGCUUACAAAUAAGCUCCACAUCUGAAUCACCAGUUAUGAGACCCAGCAAGAAAAAAUUUUAUUUCCCAGGACUUUGAAAGAUGAGACAAGUAAAUGUGUAUGCUGCGAAUUAAUACGUGAAUGAACAAAUGACUACAGGCAUUAUCCGAAUGAUAUGAUCUUCCUUCCCCAUCUUUCUGGGUGUCGGCCUUCAUUCACCAUGAAGUUGUAAACACAACAUUGAUUUUGGAGUCAGACAACCUAAGUUCAAAUCUAGCCUUUGCUAAUUACUGGCUGAAAUCAUUGAGAAAUCUACUUAACCUGCCUGAGACCUCAGUUUCCUUAUUUGUAAAUGGAAUAGUAGUGCCUCAAGUGAGAUAAGGUGUCCCGUUCAGAGCAUCCAGGCUAAUGGACAGUUAAGGAAACGACCCAACAGCUAUUAGGGCUCCCUUGCUAUUGCCAAGCUUGUUUUCAUGCUGCAGGUGGUACUGAAUUAUAUAACACAUGUGCAGCUAAACAAGCAAAGACCCUGCAUGUUCACCACAUUCUCUCUCCUCUGAACUCUGAGGUUAAUACCAGUUGUCAAACUGGCUUACGGGAAGGCACUAUA